UACGUAGGGAGCAAGCGUUGUCCGGAAUCAUUGGGCGUAAAGAGCGCGUAGGUGGCUGCAUAAGUCCGUUGUGAAAGUCAAAGGCUCAACCUUUGAAAGCCGAUGGAUACUGUGGAGCUAGAGUACGGAAGAGGCGAGUGGAAUUCCUGGUGUAGCGGUGGAAUGCGCAGAUAUCAGGAGGAACACCCAUGGCGAAGGCAGCUUCCUGGCCCAAUUCUGACGCUGAGGUGCGAAAGCGUGGGUAGCGAACGGG
rnacentral:rRNA from 1 species